rnacentral:rRNA from 1 species
AUUGAACGCUGGCGGCAUGCCUUACACAUGCAAAUCGAACGGCAGCACGGGGCAACCUGGUGGCGAGUGGCGAACGGGUGAGUAAUGCAUCGGAACGUACCUUUCAGUGGGGGAUAACGUAGCGAAAGUUACGCUAAUACCGCAUAUUCUGUGAGCAGGAAAGCAGGGGAUCGCAAGACCUUGCGCUGAUUGAGCGGCCGAUGUCAGAUUAGCUAGUUGGUGAGGUAAAGGCUCACCAAGGCGACGAUCUGUAGCGGGUCUGAGAGGAUGAUCCGCCCGACUGGAACUGAGACACGGACCAGACUCCUACGGGAGGCAGCAGUGGUGAAUUUUGGACAAUGGGGGCAACCCUGAUCCAGCCAUGCCGCGUGAGUGAAGAAGGCCUUCGGGUUGUAAAGCUCUUUCGGCCGGGAAGAAAUCGCACGGGCUAAUACCCUGUGUGGAUGACGGUACCGGAAUAAGAAGCACCGGCUAACUACGUGCCAGCCGCCGCCGUAAAAC